rnacentral:rRNA from 1 species
AGCGUAGGCGGACAUUUAAGUCAGGGGUGAAAUCCCGGGGCUCAACCUCGGAAUUGCCUUUGAUACUGGGUAUCUUGAGUAUGAGAGAGGUGUGUGGAACUCCGAGUGUAGAGGUGAAAUUCGUAGAUAUUCGGAAGAACACCAGUGGCGAAGGCGACACACUGGCUCAUUACUGACGCUGAGGCUCGAAAGCGUGGGGAGCAAACGA